rnacentral:rRNA from 1 species
GACGAACCGUGCGAACGUUAUUCGGAAUCACUGGGCUUAAAGCGCGCGUAGGCGGCUUUGCAAGUCGGGUGUGAAAUCCCCAGGCUUAACCUGGGAACUGCAUUCGAGACUGCAUUGCUAGAGUAUGGGAGAGGGAAGUGGAAUUUCCGGUGUAGCGGUGAAAUGCGUAGAUAUCGGAAGGAACAUCAGUGGCGAAAGCGGCGUUCUGGACUGCAACUGACACUGAGGAACGAAAGCCAGGGGAGCAAACGGGG